GUUAGGAAUAUUGGACAAUGGGCGAAAGCCUGAUCCAGCCAUGCCGCGUGAACGAUGAAGGCCUUCGGGUUGUAAAGUUCUUUAGCCGAUGAUUAUAAUGACUGUAGUCGGAAAAUAAGCCCCGGCUAACUUCGUGCCAGCAGCCGCGGUAAUACGAAGGGGGCGAGCGUUAUUCGGAAUCACUGGGCGUAAAGCGUGCGUAGGCGGUUUUGUAAGUUAGGAGUGAAAGCCCAGGGCUCAACCUUGGAAUUGCUCUUAAAACUGCAAGGGUCGAAUCUCGGAGAGGAUAGCGGAAUUUCCAGUGUAGCAGUGAAAUGCGUAGAUAUUGGAAGGAACACCAGUGGCGUAAGCGGCUAUCUGGACGAGUAUUGACGCUGAGGUGCGAAAGCGUGGGGAGCAAACAGGAUUAGAUACCCCGGUAGUCC
rnacentral:rRNA from 1 species